UUGUUUUUUUUUUUGAAUAAAUAUACAGUAGAAAUUUUCGUAAUAUUCAUUCGACAUAAAAUGAGAAUUUACUCAAAAUUCAAAAUGGGGAAGACCUUUUGUUAUAUUGUUUUACUUUGUUUGUCGCAAGUUCACUGUUUCACCUUGGAAGAUUGUCUUUCUCCCCCCACGUAUCCCGGUAUUGAAUGCGGCGCUUACACCGUUCGCUAUCAUUGGAAUUCUUUAACGCAAUCGUGUCAAGAAGUUCUCUAUGGAGGAUGCGGUGCUACAAGCAAUAACUUCGCAUCGUUCGUCGAGUGCGAAGUAGUUGCCGGAUACUUUUGUCGAUCUUUUUACUUAUAAACAUAUUAACCAAUAGUAAAACGGAUACAAAUAAGAAAUAAAAAGAUUAAACUUACGUAUAACGAUUUCUAAAUAAAACCAAGUUGAUUUGUGUCAUUUUUUUAUUAAAAUAAUUGAAACCCGUUCAAAAUUUAAACAUAUUAAGUAUCAGUAUAUUGUCUUUGUUACCAAUAAAUCAUAUUUUCACGAGAACCCUUCCACAGCAGAAGUUUGAAGUAGCGAAUCCUACUGACUGCGCCUUUAAUUUUAUAAAGGAAGUGUAUUUACCAAAUUACACACAAACAAAUGGCUUUAUGCAAAAUAACUACCGAAUCUGGUUAAACAAAUCAGUUUUAUGAGAAUUUUUAUUAUAAAUAACUUCAUUUUUCGAGUUUUAAACUAAAAGUAGGUAUAUGUUAGCAAUUUUUUCAUAUAAAAUUCCGUUUUUGCUCUGAUUGUUAUCAAAGAUAUCAUUAUUGAAAGUAGCUGUAAUGUGAUAUACAACUUUAUAAAAACGACAGUAUUUUUUUAUUUUUUAUGGUAGAUGAAUUCGAGUAAAGAAAUACUUGUCACAACACAUCAUAUCGGUUACAAAUGAAAGUAAUUUUUAUUAUAAUUGUGUAAUUAUAUGAAUAUAUGAGUUAUAAGUC